rnacentral:sRNA from 1 species
GCCAGGUGUGGUGGCACAUGCCUAUAAUCCCAGUAGCUGGGGAGGCUGAGGCAGGAGGAUCACAAGUUCAAGUUCAGCGUUAGCAAAUGAAUGAGGGUCUAAGCAACAUAGUGUGACCCUGUCUCAA